rnacentral:tRNA from 1 species
AAGACUUUAAUUUAAUGGAUAAAAUAUGUGACUUUUAAUCAUUAAAAUAUCGGUUCAAAUCCGAUAGGUCUUA